UCCAUUGUUUUGGGCAAGUUCUAUGAACAAUGUAAGGGAAAAUAAAAGGUAAAGGCUAGGAUUUUGCCAUAUGUGUUUAGCUUUGAUCUUAACUUUCUUUCCUAUCCUUGUAUAUUUUGGGACGGAUAACCCGUAAUGGCCCGUAUCGAUUGAGAAUUACUUGUCCCAUAAGGCAUGUUACCGUUGAAAUAUUUACCUUUUUUAAAAUGU
rnacentral:sRNA from 1 species